UGGGGAAUAUUGGACAAUGGGCGCAAGCCUGAUCCAGCCAUGCCGCGUGAGUGAUGAAGGCCCUAGGGUUGUAAAGCUCUUUUGUGCGGGAAGAUAAUGACGGUACCGCAAGAAUAAGCCCCGGCUAACUUCGUGCCAGCAGCCGCGGUAAUACGAAGGGGGCUAGCGUUGCUCGGAAUCACUGGGCGUAAAGGGUGCGUAGGCGGGUCUUUAAGUCAGGGGUGAAAUCCUGGAGCUCAACUCCAGAACUGCCUUUGAUACUGAGGAUCUUGAGUUCGGGAGAGGUGAGUGGAACUGCGAGUGUAGAGGUGAAAUUCGUAGAUAUUUGCAAGAACACCAGUGGCGAAGGCGGCUCACUGGCCCGAUACUGACGCUGAGGCACGAAAGCGUGGGGAGCAAACA
rnacentral:rRNA from 1 species